rnacentral:rRNA from 1 species
AGUGAACGCUGGCGGUAGGCCUAACACAUGCAAGUCGAACGGCAGCACAGUAAGAGCUUGCUCUUACGGGUGGCGAGUGGCGGACGGGUGAGGAAUACAUCGGAAUCUACUUUUUCGUGGGGGAUAACGUAGGGAAACUUACGCUAAUACCGCAUACGACCUACGGGUGAAAGCAGGGGAUCUUCGGACCUUGCGCGAUUGAAUGAGCCGAUGUCGGAUUAGCUAGUUGGCGGGGUAAAGGCCCACCAAGGCGACGAUCCGUAGCUGGUCUGAGAGGAUGAUCAGCCACACUGGAACUGAGACACGGUCCAGACUCCUACGGGAGGCAGCAGUGGGGAAUAUUGGACAAUGGGCGCAAGCCUGAUCCAGCCAUACCGCGUGGGUGAAGAAGGCCUUCGGGUUGUAAAGCCCUUUUGUUGGGAAAGAGAAGCAGCAGGUGAAUACCCCGCUGUUCUGACGGUACCCAAAGAAUAAGCACCGGCUAACUUCGUG